CACUACUGGGAAGCUCUAAUGAGCCAAGAGGUGGGAAGUGCUCUGGUGACUGGAGUACCACCCAGAUGUAAGACAGUAUCCUUAAAUGACUCUCCUGAGAAACCCUCUGGCCCACAUUUCUACGUCACUUCAGAUCCACAGGAGUCAAGUUUCUCUGUCAAUCUACGGAAGUCUUUGUAAGCAUCAGUGAUGGAGGAGACCCGGAUCCAAAAGCCAGCCAACCUGCAAACAAACGGUAACACAGGCAGGCUGGUUGCCAACUCUGAAAAACAAGCGCCCAGCCUACAGCUGCUGUCUCAAAUGUGGGCGAGAGGCCCUUCAGCAGCGGAGUCACACAGAUCUUCACAGGCCUCCAACCACAGGACCCACGUGCAAAUACCGCAGAGAGCGGCUGUGAAGAGAGCGCACCAUCACAGCACACACCCCAGCACCACCCCACCUGGGUCUGCCUCUCAAAGAAGCACGAGACAACUGUCAAACUGACAGAGGAACGCAGCAAUAUCUGAGGCUACAGGACUUCACCUGGAUUUCACCUGUCUUUCACCGAUGUCCUUUUUCUACUCCAGGACUGGAUGCUGCAUCCCACAUGCCCUUACCGGUCACAUACCCUUCGUCUCCUCUGGUCUGUGACCGCUCCCUCCAUCUUUCCUCAUUUUGCAUGACCUUAAAAACUGCAGAGUACUGGGUGGAUAUCUCAUGGAACAUCCCAUAAUUUGGUUCUUAAAUUUUCUUGGAUAGAGAGCAUGGAUUUUUGGAAGAGUACCAAAGAGGUGAUGUGACCCUCUUAGCACAUACCAGAAGGUAUGUCAUUCCAUUAUUGGUGAUGUUAAACUCGAUUUCUGGUGAAAGUCAUGUCUUCAAGGACUCCCUACUACAAAAUUACUAUUGUUCCCUUUGUCAGUUAUUUGGGGAGAGACAUUUUGAGGCUAUGCAAACACCCUGUUUUUCCUUAAACUUUCGCUCACUCAUUUUAGCAUCCAUUGACCCUGUCUGGCCAUGAUCUCUGUACUGUGGUAAUGACAGUGAUGAUUUGCUAUUUCUCUCAUUCUUUCUACAUGUAAUAAUUAGAACUCUUCUCUAAGGAAGAGCUGUUUCUUUCAUCAUUUUUAUCAAUAACAG